UACGUAGGGACCGAGCGUUGUCCGGAUUCAUUGGGCGUAAAGAGCUCGUAGGCGGCUGCUCAAGUCGAAUGUGAAACCUCGAGGCUUAACCUCGAGCCUGCAUUCGAUACUGGGCGGCUAGAGUCUGGUAGGGGGAUCUGGAAUUCCUGGUGUAGCGGUGGAAUGCGCAGAUAUCAGGAAGAACACCCGUGGCUAAGGCGGCUCUCUAGUACGGUACUGACGCUGAGACGCGAAAGCGUGGGGAGCGAACAGG
rnacentral:rRNA from 1 species